rnacentral:rRNA from 1 species
AUAGCGUAUAUUAAAGUUGUUGCAGUUAAAAAGCUCGUAGUUGGAUCUCGGGUCCGAGCUGGCGGUUCGUUUCGCGACGACACUGCCCGUCCCGGACCUACCUGCCGGUCGUCUCGUCGUGCUCUUCGCUGAGUGCGUCGAGUGGCUGGAACGUUUACUUUGAAAAAAUUAGAGUGCUCAAAGCAGGCCGUUUGCCUGAAUAACCGCGCAUGGAAUAAUGGAAUAGGACCUCGGUUCUAUUUUGUUGGUUUUCGGAACUUGAGGUAAUGAUUAAGAGGGACAGACGGGGGCAUUCGUAUUACGGUGUUAGAGGUGAAAUUCUUGGAUCGCCGGAAGACGAACUACUG